GUGUUCACCGGGUAGACCUUGAU
rnacentral:miRNA from 10 species